GUAGAUUUGGCCACUAACGGGUUAGUAGUUGUGAAGGAAAGGAGGAACCAGUUUACGAACC
rnacentral:misc_RNA from 1 species